AUUGAACGCUGGCGGCAUGCCUUACACAUGCAAGUCGAACGGCAGCACGGGGCAACCUGGUGGCGAGUGGCGAACGGGUGAGUAAUGCAUCGGAACGUGCCAUUGAGUGGGGGAUAACGUAGCGAAAGUUGCGCUAAUACCGCAUAUUCUGUGAGCAGGAAAGCAGGGGACCGCAAGGCCUUGCGCUCUUUGAGCGGCCGAUGUCAGAUUAGCUAGUUGGUAGGGUAAAGGCCUACCAAGCCGACGACGGGUAACCGGUCUGAGAGGAUGGCCGGUCACAAGGGCACUGAGAGACGGGCCCUACUCCUACGGGAGGCAGCAGUGGGGAAUCUUGCGCAAUGGGCGAAAGCCUGACGCAGCAACGCCGCGUGCGGGAUGAAGGCCUUCGGGUUGUAAACCGCUUUCAGCAGGGACGAAAAUGACGGUACCUGCAGAAGAAGCCCCGGCUAACUACGUG
rnacentral:rRNA from 1 species